rnacentral:rRNA from 1 species
GUGCCAGCAGCCGCGGUAAUACAGAGGGUGCGAGCGUUAAUCGGAAUUACUGGGCGUAAAGGGCGCGUAGGUGGAUAAUUAGGUCGGAUGUGAAAUCCCCGGGCUUAACCUGGGAAUGGCAUACGAUACUGGUUAUCUGGAGUUGAGUAGAGGGAAGUGGAAUUUCCGGUGUAGCGGUGAAAUGCGUAGAUAUCGGAAGGAACACCAGUGGCGAAGGCGGCUUCCUGGACUUAAACUGACACUGAGGCGCGAAAGCGUGGGGAGCAAACAGGAUUAGAAACCCGUGUAGUCC